ACUUGGGUAGUUUAAUUAAGAUUUUGAUUUGUGGUGUCAAAGAUGUGGAAUACCACCCUAGGUC
rnacentral:tRNA from 1 species